AGCAGCCGCGGUAAUUCCAGCUCCAAUAGCGUAUAUUAAAGUUGUUGCAGUUAAAAAGCUCGUAGUUGAAUUUCGGGAUUGACGUGAUGGUCAUGCCUUAAGGGGUAUGAACUGUUGCAGUUGAUUUCUCACCUUCUGGAAAAACUUGAUGUCCUUUAUUGGUGUCCUGCGGAUCCAGGACCUUUACCUUGAAAAAAUUAGAGUGUUAAAGCAGGCAUUUUUGCUCGAAAUACAUUAGCAUGGAAUAAUAGAAUAGGACGGCAUGGUUCUAUUUUGUUGGUUUCUAGGAUCACCGUAAUGAUUAAUAGGGAUAGUUGGGGGCAUUAGUAUUCAAAUUGUCAGAGGUGAAAAUUCUUGGAUUUAUUGAAGACUAACUACUGCGAAAAGCAUUUGCCAAGGAUGUUUUCAUUAAUCAAGAACGAAAGUUAGGGGAUCGAAAGACGAUCAGAUACCGUCGUAGUCUUAAACCAUAAAACUAUGCCGACUAGGAAUCGGACGAAGUAAUUUUUAAUGACUCGUU
rnacentral:rRNA from 1 species